CUGCAGCUCAAGUGGUAGCCGCUAUUAUUGGGCCUAAAACGUUCGUAGCCGGUUUGGUAAAUGCCUGGGUAAAUCGUGUAGCUUAACUAUACGAAUUCCGGGUAGACUGCCAAACUUGAGACCGGGAGAAGCUAGAGGUACUCCUGGGGUAGAGGUGAAAUUCUGUAAUCCUGGGGGGACCACCAGUGGCGAAGGCGUCUAGCUAGAACGGGUCUGACGGUGAGGAACGAAGCCCUGGGGCGCAAACCGGAUUAGAUACCCGAGUAGUCC
rnacentral:rRNA from 1 species